rnacentral:rRNA from 1 species
CCUACGGGUGGCAGCAGUGAGGAAUAUUGGUCAAUGGGCGAGAGCCUGAACCAGCCAAGUAGCGUGAAGGAUUCCUGCCCUCUGGGUUGUCCCCUUCUUUUUUCUGGGAAUAAAAUGUUCCACGUGUGGGAUUUUGUAUGUACCAUAUGAAUAAGGAUCGGCUAACUCCGUGCCAGCAGCCGCGGUAAGUCGGAGGAUCCGAGCGUUAUCCGGAUUUAUUGGGUUUAACGGGAGCGUAGGUGGAUUGUUAAGUCAGUUGUGAAAGUUUGCGGCUCAACCGUAAAAUUGCAGUUGAAACUGGCAGUCUUGAGUACAGUAGAGGUAGGCGGAAUUCGUGGUGUAGCGGUGAAAUGCUUAGAUAUCACGAAGAACUCCGAUUGCGAAGGCAGCUCACUGGACUGUAACUGACACUGAGGCUCGAAAGUGUGGGUAUCAAACAGGAUUAGAUACCCGAGUAGUC